rnacentral:rRNA from 1 species
UUGCUCUCGGGUGACGAGUGGCGGACGGGUGAGUAAUGUCUGGGAAACUGCCUGAUGGAGGGGGAUAACUACUGGAAACGGUAGCUAAUACCGCAUAACGUCGCAAGACCAAAGAGGGGGACCUUCGGGCCUCUUGCCAUCAGAUGUGCCCAGAUGGGAUUAGCUAGUAGGUGGGGUAAUGGCUCACCUAGGCGACGAUCCCUAGCUGGUCUGAGAGGAUGACCAGCCACACUGGAACUGAGACACGGUCCAGACUCCUACGGGAGGCAGCAGUGGGGAAUAUUGCACAAUGGGCGCAAGCCUGAUGCAGCCAUGCCGCGUGUAUGAAGAAGGCCUUCGGGUUGUAAAGUACUUUCAGCGGGGAGGAAGGUGUUGUGGUUAAUAACCGCAGCAAUUGACGUUACCCGCAGAAGAAGCACCGGCUAACUCCGUG